rnacentral:misc_RNA from 1 species
GCUCAUGGACCCCGGCGGCGGCGCGGUGGUGGUGGGCGGCACCCAGGACGUGGUGCGCUCCUACCUGAACCUGAGCGGCGAGGACCCCUACUCGGACUGGGGCGCCGGCAACGGCUCGCUCAACGACACUCUGUGCCCGGGCGUCAACGGCACCCUGGUGCCCUGCCACACCAUCAUCAAGCAGUACUGGGCCCUCAUGCUGCUCGCCUUCCCCGUGCUCACGCUGUUCGGCAACGUGCUGGUCAUCCUGGCCGUGCUGCGCGAGCGCUCGCUGCAGAACGCCACCAACUACUUCAUCGUGAGCCUCGCCCUGGCCGACCUGCUCGUGGCCGUGGUCGUCAUGCCCUUCGCCAUCUAUUUCCUGGUGAACGGGACGUGGAGUCUUCCAGGAUUCGUCUGUGACUUCUAUAUAGCCAUGGACGUCACGUGUAGCACUUCUUCCAUUUUCAAUUUGGUCGCCAUUAGUAUAGACAGAUAUAUUGCUGUGACGCAGCCAAUCAAAUAUGCCAAGCACAAGAACAACAGACGUGUGUGGUGCACCAUCGUGGUGGUGUGGCUGGUGUCUUGCGCCAUCGGCACGCCCAUCGUGCUGGGCCUCAACAACACGCCCGAUCGGAGUCCGGAUCUCUGCAUUUUCUACAACACAGACUUUGUUAUUUAUUCAUCACUUUCAUCGUUUUACAUUCCCUGUAUGAUCAUGAUCGUCCUGUACUUCAACAUCUACAAGGCGCUGUCGAACCGCGCCAGGAAGGCCAAGGCGGCGCGCAAGCCCAACGCGUCGGACUGCCGGACGGACACCGUCCUGGAGAACCUGGCGCAGACGCGGCGGCUGGCGGAGACGGCACUAGGCACGUCGUCGCUGGCCGCGCCCACGAGCUCGGGGCUGGAGGAGGAGCGGCCGACGAACACGGGAAGCGGCAGCCAGGACGAGGACGACGACGACAUAAAGGACAACGAUCGCUCGUUUGACAUUGAAGACUGCCACGUGAUUCCUAAUGAUAAGUCAACUGAGUUCAUCCUAGCCACUGUCGUCGAGGACGCCUCGAAAGCGCAGCGGAGAGGAAGCGGCUCAGAAAAGAUGAUCGGGGUGGUGGUGGCCACGCUCACCCCCACGCCGAUGGCCGACCCCAACGGGAACAACGACUCCGGCUACGUGGCGUCGCACGUGGAGGAGACGACCAUCGUGUCCGGGUCCGCGCCCGGCAGCCCCAAGAUGCUCAAAGCGCCCGCCCCGCAGGGGAAGCGCAACGGGGCGGCCGCGCUGAAGCGGGUGCUGUCGGGCAGCCUGCGCAAGGGCGGGCCCGACCCGCCGUCCACCAGCAGCACCAAGUGCAGCACCAAGGACAGCAAGGACAACAAGGAGUCGCGCUUCACCAUCUACUCCAAGCACAAGGCGUCGCGGAAGAAGCGGGACAAGUCAGCGGCCAGGAAGGAGCGCAAGGCCACCAAGACGCUCGCCAUCGUGCUGGGCGUGUUCCUGGUGUGCUGGGUGCCCUUCUUCACCUGCAACAUCCUGGACGCGACCUGCACCAAGCUGGAGAUGAACUGCCAGCCCGGCGUGGCCGCCUUCAUCCUCACCACGUGGCUGGGCUACAUGAACAGCUUCGUGAACCCCGUCAUCUACACCAUCUUCAACCCCGAGUUCCGGAAGGCGUUCAAGAAGCUCAUGUCGCUGGACUCGUAGGGAGAGCUUUGGGCGUACGGCACCUCCAGCGCUGUCGAGCCGAGUGUGGCCACUCAGCGCUGAACCCCCACGACCCGUUCGCAGCGUCCUCUGCGACCCGCAUGCUGCGCGGUGGGCGCUGCAGGGACGUCAGUGCGCCAAACACAUCGCUGUGGAAAUGGAGCUCAGUUGGAGAAGUUGGCAACCCUGCGCGGCGGAGAGCGCUCUGCCUGGAGCCGCUAGAGCGCGCUAGAGCGGUGCGCACUCCCGACUCCAGGCAGCCUCCAGCGCUCCGCUUCUCCUGAGGCGUCUUCCUCCAGCAGCGGGCCUCGGUCGUAUCCCCUCCCCCUCCCCUCUUCCCUUCCGCGGUCUGCCGAUCGCAUCCCAGAACCCUUUCCCCAAUAACAUAUCUCCCCCUAUCUCCCUCCCCGCCGUACGUCCAAAGCCACCGGGUGGCUUGCUAUGCAGCGACGCUCCUCGCGCUGCUCAGUGGGGGCGGCCGGAGGGACUCGGGGACUGGAGCCGGCCGCCCCAAGAAGGAGAAGAAAACGCUUAUUAUCAAGUAUGUGCCAAUUACUAGGACUUUGGUGAAGAGCCGCGGAUGGCUCUCUGUUCCCGGGUGGAAGGAUCUGUAGUGAAACUCCAGUUUAAACUGUAGUGCCAAAACUACAGUUCCUGAACUGCAGUUUUUGGUAAGAACAAAGUGCAGAAUAAGUCCAGUUUCAGUUUGCUUAUGGAUCUGUAGUUUGCUGUGUAUGCAAACUGCUUUCUAGCUGAACUGUUAUUUGUUGACCAGGUAUAAAAUACUAUCUGCAGUUACAAAGUGAAGUUAAAAGUUUUUAAAGUCUACUCUACUUUAAUAGUCCACUACUGAAGAUUCGCCUACACUUCUAUCUGCAGCAGGAUCUACAAAGGAAAUAAAGUUUCUGCUCAUACUUUUUUACACAAUGACAAACUAGUUGAAUGUUUACUACAAUUUGUAGUAAUUUUUUGCUUAAGGCAUAGUUUAAGAUGUCAAGCACUACAACUUGAUAUGAAGAAACAAAAACAAUUACAUUGAGUGAUUAAAAUAAUAUAAGGAUUGAAAAGGAAAUAUAUCUUAGAAGUUUCAGUUAUUUCUUUUAAACGUUUACGUUGAAAUACUUGACGUUGGAGACUUUUAGAAGACACGACUAAACUUUCAUAUGAAAACCUAUAUGGCUGGAUGUAACCAAUUCUUAAAAUACUAUCUGGUUAUCUGUUUGCUUAUUUUAUAAUGUUCCAUAUUGGUCAGGUAGCAUGUGACAAAGUAUUGCGGAAAUCAACAAGCCACAAAAUUUAGCCAGCUUGUCGCCAAACAAGGUCUAGCUAAGUGGCAUCAAAUUCAUUAUGACUGGAUGAUAAAAUGUCAAACACAAAUAAAACUAGAAAGCAUUAUAAUGCAAUGCGUCUCAGAAGUUGAAAAGGUAACGACUCCAGUCGUUGAAAAUUAAGACCUUGAAGGCUCUCUGAAUUAAAUCACUCCAUUGUGUCUUGGUUUCUGAGGCAGAUUCAUUAUAAAUUACAUUUUGGACAAGUGGAUUUCACUCAAAGUACAGAGUGGCUUACAGUAAAACUGUAGUUUUCUAGCAGUUCAACUCUAGUUCCUGAGGAAAGCCGGCCUUUCCAUGUGGUCGAGAAGCCAAGCCCCUAUCCACAAGGAAGCUCAGUGGUGCAGUGGUCAAGGCCUCUGCCUCACAAGCCAUGGGUCCGAGGUUCAACUCCCGGCAACAUCCAAUCAAAACACACAAUUAAUACAAAGUCAAUCAUCUCAGGGGUCAGAGGGAGGAAAAGUCCCCUCAAAACAGGGUUCAAAAAUUAAAAAUUUUGAAUUUUGAACCAAAUUUUAAAACUGCAGAUUGUUUUCUCUUUUGAACUAACUCUGGCUGUGUAACUAAACUACAGUAAAACUGUACUUUGAACUAUAGUCAACUGAUCUGAAGACUAGGGCAACCUGGGUGAAAAACUAUAGUUGUCCGAAAUAACUGGUACUUUUUUUGCAGUUUAAUUGUAGUUUACUACACUUCAACUGUAGUUGAACUACACUUUACCUGCAAUUAUAAAAUACAUUACAGUAAUUUAAAGUAUGAAAAAAAUUAUUUAAAAAUUAAGUUUAACAUUACAAAAAAUCUAUAUUUUUCCAAUAUAGUUUAAACUGCAGAUCCUUCCACCCGGGUUUCGAAUAAGUUUAGACCAGGUGGGCCGGCAGUGGUGUUCCUCAUAGUGCGAGGUACGCGCCGGGCCCACGUUUCGAUUGGAUCAAAGGAUGGAUUGAGACCAAACCGUCUCUGUGUACAUAGUUAACGUUUAGUCGCCGCCCAAGGAGAAGUGUAUAUACGAGUUCUAGGUUGUGUCACGUUUCUACCAUGUUUAUACUUGAUUUCUCUCAUUUUUCGAGUUGUCUCGAACAGUGUUUGCACAAAAUGUACAUAGAUUCACAUGUAAAUACCUGUAUUUUGUUUUCGUUGAGCUCUUGUAUUCCCGAUUGUACGUAUCAUUGUUCUGUAUAGUGAGUUAAAGUCUGUGUAAAUAUUUAUAAUAUGUUGCUCCUGUGCACAUUUUGAAAAUAUGUAGUCAUAAUGUUAAACCUACGUGCUGUGUAAGUCUAUUUUCAGGGCAAACUUCGUUUUCUACAAGACUGUCCCUUUCUUGCAGUUUUAUCUUGCCUUGGUCCGCCCGCCCCUGAGUUGCUAGGCUCACCUCAAGGGUCGGCCUCCUCUACCCAUUCCUAGGUCAUUAAGCGAAAAGGUGCUGGCUACGUGACGAGCACUUGCGAAGGACGGAUAAAAGAAUUAUUUAAAAAAAACCUUAGAUGAGAAUUACGAGUAUAUUUUCUAUAUAUAUUUGAGUCAAAAGAGCGGUGAGCAGUAUUAACGCGUUACGUUUUGUGAUGUACAUAAGUGUUCCCGCCUUGCCUUUCCCGCCGGCAGGGGCCGCGCCUUCGCAGUGACGCAGUGAGGGUGGUUUUCCGGGAAAAAAAGAGAAAAAAAAACUAACCCGGUGGCGAGAGCACGCGGCGAGCGCGGCCAGCUCCACUGAAAACAUAGAAACAGGGUAACCCACCGUCAGCGCGCGGGGCUGCGCGGCCCCUGCCGAGGCACCGUUAAAAUGCCGCGGCAGUGUCAAAUGCCAAAGCAGUGCCAAGGCAGUGCCAAGGCAGUGCCAAGGCAGUGCCUCCCCCGCCCCGCCCCAGCAAGGUGGCCGCCGCCGCGGACCGACACCUGCCCGGGCCGGGUGACCCGCCUCGCCCCGCCGGUCACCCUCCCGCGCCGGUCCUGAGCCCCAAGUCCGCGGUGGCAGCGCAGCUUGAAACCCCUCCCCUCCCCCUCCCCUCCUCUGUUUUCUCGCCUCCCUCCCCUCGGGCGGCUGUGCCGUCCGGGGAGCAGGGUUAGAAAGCCUUAUUGCAAGUUGUUUAUGGUGAUAUCUGUUAAUAAAAAGUAAUUGUAAGCAGAGAGUACAAAGAGAUAUCAAAAGGUUCUUAAUUAAUAAAAAAUAUC